AAAUGUAAUUUAUAAAAUUUGAGAUAAUUUAAACUUCAGAUAAAUAUCUAUUUUUCUUAAAAUUUAAAUUCACUUUAAAUUUUAAUUUUAUUUUAUCUACUCGUGGCUGGGUUAGGUUUUCUGGUUCAUUAGGCAUUGGCAUGAGACUGGAGUGGCGUUGCCCAGAGCAAACUGAAGAAACACAAGCUCAAAGCCUUACCUGGGCAAACUGGGAACAAAAGAGAGACGAAGCUCCGAGCAACUCUUUCUGCCAUCUAAGGCUGUAAAACGUCAGAUUGGCCAUCCAGGCAUAGCUUCUAUCUUCUUCAAGGAGAAGAUCCAGAUUGCUCGCUUGGCACUAACAGAAGUUACACCAGCACAACUGUAAGUUUUCUAAUUUUCUACCUCUGUAAUUCAAAACUAACAAGUUCUUAUCUUCUGUUCGAUUUUAAAGAUUGACAAAAGAAGCUAGGUAUGGAUAUUUUGGGGUACCAGAUCUAUGUUGUGCAAUUUCAAGGGCUGCCUUUGAAGUUGAUGAUUAUUGGAGAAUUGUGGACAUUCUACAUGAAAGGUUGACGAAGUUUAAAAAAAAAAAAAAUGGUGGAUUUGCUACAGGACUCUACUUCUGAUAGAACAUCUUCUAAGAUGAAUUUCAGAGAGAUAAAGAAGCCAUUAGGAAGAUGGAAAGCUUUCAAAUUGUUGACGAGAAAGGGUUGGUCUAGUCAAAUUUAUAUUAUUACGAUAAACAUCUUGGUUUGCAUGCAGAUUCAACUAGGGCUUGCGUGUUAGAAACUCAUCUGCAAGAAUACUGAAGUUGCUCGAAAAUAAGCCAAGGGCAAGAGCUCGUAAGUUAACACGAGCGAUUCAGGGGUUUGGCAGCUUCUACAGGAAUAUUAGAGAAGGAGAAUGAAUAUGCAAGCAAAAACCAUCCAUUCUUUCUCCCCUAGCUACUCUAGAAUUAUUGAGUCAUUCAGUAAUUACUGGAAUUUUGCUAAGAAAUUCACAAGGCUUACAAAUUUGGAUUUAUCAUAUGCUUACCCUUUAUUACUACUAGCUCUCUUUGGGAAGAAAUAGUUAAAUAUAUUUGAUAUGCUAGUGGGGUAAGUGCUUACUGUUCUUUUUUUUUUUUUU